UCCUCGAUAGCUCAGUCGGUAGAGCACGCGGCUGUUAACCGCGCUGUCGUAGGUUCGAGUCCUACUCGGGGAGC
rnacentral:tRNA from 1 species